GGCUUUGUGAGAAGGGAAAGAAAACGAUGCUCCUUAUAGCCCCAGGACGCUCCAGGAAUUACCUCCCCAGGAAGAGCACUGCUUUCCUAGGCCAUUAGCGGGGGUGGCCGACUCAGCAGAGCUUCAGGAGAAAACUGAAGUGACUCAGUGAGCACUGAGACUCCGGGUGGGCACAGCACGUUCCAGUAGAGCUAGCAAAGCAGCACAGCACCCAGAUGGCAGGAACGCAUCUGCAGUGUCCCUCGGGGGACUGCCCGAAAUAUUCGAGAGCAGAGAAUAUUUUUGCAGUCAAGCACUGGAAAUGAGAACGAGAGCACCAGAGUGGAGCCAGAAUAAUUCUCGAGGCUCUUCUUCCUGUAUAACUCCCUGGAAGUCAUCUCCAGUGACAAAAGGGUAAAAUCUUACAUAGAAAACCAGGUGAAAUGCACAGAGAAAGGAGUAGUAAACACUGCUUUCCAGAGGAGAAUCUUAAUGAUGAAAAUAAAGAAUUUUAAGCAGAAGAGGAGGAAAACAUCACACCGUGCAGGCGACUGUAUGGAGAUAUUUCAUAUCUGGCCACAACACUUUUACAAAAUUUUUUUUUAAAGUCUGUAUUCUAACCCUUCUUUUUCAUGACCUGAAAAGAACCAUAUGUCUGCCAGUGAACUUUAUAGACCCAUGGAGACC
rnacentral:lncRNA from 1 species